ensembl:misc_RNA Y_RNA Y RNA
AGCUGGUCCAAUGGUAAUGGGUUAUCAGAACUUAUUAACACCAGUGUCACUAAAGUUGAUGUACAGUCCCCCCACUGCUAAAUUUGACUGGCUUAAA